CAGAGAGCCGUCAUGCAUCGAUCCAAAAUGGUGAAGGUUCAGAACCAUCAGCUUCUUCACCUUCCUUCGCAGUUCAAGAUGAAGAUGGUGGUGAUAGUAGAGAGUCUCACAAAGGCCUCAAAUUAUCGAAUCAAUGAUUUACCAAAGACCGGCAUCCAAUGGUCAUUAUUCUGACAAGUCGAAAGAGAUGAUGCUGGCAAGUGGAUUGGCAUGGGAAAGAUCGAUCGAUCUGCUACUUCAGCUCUUUUCCUGCUCGGAAGGUCGACGCUCAUAUGACCCCCUGGACACCAUGGGACGAGUCUUUUGACUUUGGGAGUUUGGGGGCUACAGCAUCAGUGCUUGAACAUAUUGAACAAACAAGACUCAUGAUAUUGAAUAAUAAAGUUUGUGCAACUGCAGGUACAUAUAUUUAGAUCAGCAGAACUGUUUCCCAAAGUUCAAGCGGAGAGCCUAAGCAGUCAUGAGAAGAAGAAGCAGGAGCAGAAGAGUUGAAAGGUAGAGGCAAAUCUAAGCAGAAGAGCAGAAGAUCUAACCUUAAAUAAUUCUAGAGCAUUUCUGUUGUGAAACUAUUCAGCUUUUAAAGAAAGAGGCAAAUCUAUGCCAAAGAGUUGAAGUCCAAUUGGAAGAGUUGGAAGGACAAUAGAAGCACUGGACGGGUGCUGCCAUCCAUGUGACGGAUCAACGAUUUACCAGAAGCGAACAUCUUACCGGAGGAAAAUGAAAUUAAUUUAGAUUUAGUUAUAGUUGAGUGCUGGGUUAGUUAAUGACUUAGUGCUGACCGCUGAGGUAUAGACCUGUUGUUUUUGACGGCUCAUUUGGUUGUAUGUAAGUUUAUGAUUGUAAUCUGAA